rnacentral:rRNA from 1 species
GUCGACGAUGACGGUGGUGCUUGCACCGCCUGAUUAGUGGCGAACGGGUGAGUAACACGUGAGUAACCUGCCCUCCACUUCAGGAUAACCUCGGGAAAUCGUGGCUAAUACCGGAUAUGAGCACUCAUCGCAUGGUGGGUGUUGGAAAGAUUUAUCGGUGGGGGAUGGACUCGCGGCCUAUCAGUUUGUUGGUGAGGUGAUGGCUCACCAAAACAAUGACGGGUAGCCGGCCUGAGAGGGCGACCGGCCACACUGGGACUGAGACACGGCCCAGACUCCUACGGGAGGCAGCAGUGGGGAAUAUUGCACAAUGGGCGAAAGCCUGAUGCAUCGACGCCGCGUGGGGGAUGACGGCCUUCGGGUUGUAAACCCCUUUCAGUAGGGAAGAAGCGAGAGUGACGGUACCUGCAGAAGAAGCGCCGGCUAACUACGUGCCACCAGCCGCGGUAAUACGUAGGGCGCAAGCGUUGUCCGGAAUUAUUGGGCGUAAAGAGCUUGUAGGUGGCUUGUCGCGUCUGCCGUGAAAACCCGAGGCUCAACCUCUGGCGUGCGGUGGGUACGGGCAUGCUAGAGUGUGGUAGGGGAGACUGGAACUCCUGGUGUAGCG